AUUGAACGCUGGCGGCAGGCCUAACACAUGCAAGUCGAGCGGGGUUUUCGGACCUAGCGGCGGACGGGUGAGUAAUGCGUAGGAAGCUACCCGAUAGAGGGGGAUACCAGUUGGAAACGACUGUUAAUACCGCAUAAUGUCUACGGACCAAAGUGUGGGACCUUCGGGCCACAUGCUAUCGGAUGCGCCUACGUGGGAUUAGCUAGUUGGUGAGGUAAUGGCUCACCAAGGGGACGAUCUCUGGCUGGUUUGAGAGGAUGAUCAGCCACACUGGAACUGAGACACGGUCCAGACUCCUACGGGAGGCAGCAGUGGGGAAUAUUGGAAAAGGGGCGCAAGCCUGAUCCAGCCAUGCCGCGUGUGUGAAGAAGGCCUUCGGGUUGUAAAGCACUUUCAGUAGGGAGGAAGCGUUGUGUGUUAAUAGUACACAGCGUUGACGUUACCUACAGAAGAAGCACCGGCUAACUCUGUGCCAGCCGCCGCCGUAAGAC
rnacentral:rRNA from 1 species